rnacentral:lncRNA from 1 species
AAAUAGUUGAGAAUAUUUAGCCUUUUACAUCAGUGCAUUUGAAUCGAAUCAAUCAAAAAUAUAUUUUCUUCACCAUCAUCACCACAAUGGCCGCAAAUAAUAGGAUUCUAAUUGUCGCCCUUUUGAUGUGCGCACUAGCUCUAAUGGCCAUGGCAGAAGGAGAGGGGAGAGUUAAAAAUGUACUUUGCACGGUAGAAUGCUGUUGGUAAUGCACAAAAUUCCAGAUAUUCACGCACAGCGAAUGCAAGAGCACGUGUAGAGUCGUCUGCGCGAGAAGAAAUGUGAGGAAAGUAUCGGCAGGCGAAGUUGGGUUCUUG